GCCACGGUGGUCUAGCGGUUAGAACGCUGGCCUCGUAAUCCUGGGGUCACGGGUUCGAUUCCCGGCGGUGCCC
rfam:Zootermopsis nevadensis contig22542, whole genome shotgun sequence.